CAAGGCCUAUCCAAAUUAUUACAAGGGGCGCGCAGGAUCAAGAUGAAAUGAGCUAGCUAUUUCAAGAGGUGCUUGAUCGACCACGGCCACGUACGUACGUCACUCAAUCUCAACAAGCCAUGUAAUUGAAACAGCAAUGUUGGUGAUAUUUUUGGCAGUGAAACAGCAUCGUUAUUUCAAAUGGUUCGUGCAAAGAAAGCACUGAUUUCGUAUCGGCUCUCUGAGUCUGUGAAGGACAGCGUCUCUAUUUCUCCCAGGCCAGCUGCCCUCGCCUCCCGACGGUCAUUUCUCCUUCGCGGUGGUGAGGAAAAACAAGCGAGCACAUGUUCGGAGCUGAGAGUGCAGUGCAGUGAGAGCUCGAGAGAGCUGAGAAGCCCCGAUAUUGCUGUGCUGGUGUGCUUUGAUGUUGAUACAGCCCCUUUCAUCUCGUUGAUAACAAGAAGAGCAAAGUGAUGAACCUACAAGGCAAGAUGAGAAACUUCUUGGACCUCACGACUUUCUGCUAUUGCCACACUUAUGAGGACACAGGAGGAAAUUCUCUGGUUCAAGGAAGGCAUGGUGCUGGCUAGGCUGGGACUCGAUCAUGAUAUAGAUGUCUUGCGUCUCUCAUUACAGAUCCACAGAUUCUGUAUUGCAGAAGUACCAAGAGAGCACUCACUCCUAGGCAUGCCUACAUCAUUCCGAGUCCAGAAUCUACUGCUGGCUCUCUGAUCCCUAGUGCACUGUCUUCAUGGAUACCCCAGCAGAUCCUUGUCAUGCACGUCUCUUUGUUUUAUCUCGACAUCAUGAUUCUGAAGAGUUGCAUUGCUGCAAAAACAAUGUUGCCCCAAGGAGAGAGUUUCCUACAUCCACUUGAGAAACUGAAACUAAAGAUUUAAGCUGCCCAUGGGUAUUCUACUCCCAAUAUUUGCAACAUGCCUUUUAAAGAAUCUGCACAUCUGAACGUGAAGUUGCCCAACCGAGGGAUACUAGUGUCCAUGAUCAGAGCUUGAGAAACAGAUCCUUUCAUACUUGAGGAACAGUACAAUAUCAAAGUAUAGCUGGUAAUCUGAACAUUUGAAAUUUGGUCGGCAGAGGGGUGCAAGUAUUCAAGUGAUGCAGAGAAUAUUUGCAAUGGCAGCAGGGCAGUGCAUCCAUCGUCACUCCUCACAUCGUUUCCAGAAUGAGGAUCACAAGUAUUCAAGGGAUGCAGAGAACAUUGGAAACGGCAGCAGGACAGAGCAUCAAUCAUCACUCCUCACAUCGUUUCCAGAAUGAAGAUCACAACUAUUCACUAGAUGCAAUGAACAUUGGUAAUGGCAGCAGGGCAGAGCAUCCAUCGUCGCCCCUCACAUAGUCUCCAGAAUGAGGAUCACAAGUAUUCAAGGGAUGCAUAGAACAUUGGCAAUGGUAGCAGGGCAGAGCAUCCAUUGUCAUUACCUUACAUCGUUUCCAGAAUGAGGAUCACAAGAGAGGUUUGGCUGUCUUGUUUGUGUCGUAGCCAUGAUUGAUGGUUGUGAAGUUGUGGCGAUGAGUCUGUAUUUACAUUUCCAAAUCAUAUGUAGAAACUUUUGCAUUGUAUAGGUAAAUAGGUAUUUUAUUUCAUUUUUCAUUGUGUUGUAGGGUGCGACUAAGGCCUAGUGUGACUGCUAGAUUUAAUUUAAUUUGGGGUAUUUUUCUGAUGGUUUUAAAAUUAUUACUGGUAUGUUUUGAUCCAUCAUUGAUAAUCUAAAACAUUGCUCAGAAAAAUGAAAUAUCAGAACAUGUAGAUAUUCCCCCCCCCCCAAAAAAAAAAAUAAAGCAAAGAAUUACAAGACAACAUCUUGCUCAAGAGAGUGACUCAAUGCUCAAUAAUGAAAAAUGAUAAGUUUUGAUUGAAUUAUUAGCUGAAAUUGUAAAUGAUUGUCUAUGCAUCUAAACAUACAUUCCAAAAAUAUUCAGCCCCAAAAUAAUGGCGUAUAGUUGUAUGCUUCAAAAAGCGCAUUCAUAUUGUUGGUGCACCUCAAGAGUGUGGUUAUCUGAUAUUUGCUUCUGCAACAUUUGCUCUGGGCUUUAUUAUUUUACAUGGUGGUUUUAACAUAGUGUUGGAACCAGGUUAGAGGUCAAGAAUUUGGAAUGUGUUUAAACAAAAAUUGUUCUUGAGCAGCUGUCGUAAAAUCCAGAAAGGCAAAAAUAUUCUCGUGAGAUAUGGGAUACACCAAGGAGGGCAAACAUUAUUGCCCCAUUACCCCCACUCCUUCCGUAAAGAUCCCUCGCCCCCCCCCCCCAAAAAAAAAGGGCAAAAUUGAUAAUGUUAUUAACAUAAUUGAAUAAUUUGGUAUAUAAAAAUAUCAAAUAGAUGAAGAGUUUCACCAACUGUGGAUUAUACC